rnacentral:lncRNA from 1 species
CGUCGAAUCUGGUCUGCCAAAACUGGUUAUAAUCAUCGGAUAUGGUCCGCCGGAUCUGGUCAGUCGGAUCUGGACUGUUGGAGUUCGUCCGUCGAAGUUCGUCAGCCGUAUUUGGUCCGCCGGAGUUCGUCCGUCAGAUCUACUAUGGUCCGCCGGAUCUGGUCUGUUGGAUUUGGUCCAUCGAAUCUAGACUGUCAGAGUUCGUCUGCCGGAGUUUGUCCGUCGGAUCUGGUUCACUAGAAGUGUUUAAUGUUGGAAGAAGAAAAAGAAGAAUGAAGAAGAGAGAGAUUAAAAAAAAAAAAAGUCACAACAUAGAGCAUCCAAUUAGGACAGGGGUACAAUGGUCUUUUGACAAAGACAUUGUGGCAGGCGGGAGAAGAUGUUUC